AUUGCACGCUGGCGGCAGGCCUAACACAUGCAAGUCGAACGCGUCGCGGACGGGUGUGAUAUGUCUGGGAAACUGCCAGAUAGAGGGGGAUAACUACGGGACACUGUAGCUAAUACCGUAUAUCAUCGGAUGCGCCUAGAUGGGAUUAGCUAGUAGGGGGGGUAACGGCUCACCUAGGCGACGAUCCCUAGCUGGUCUGAGAGGAUGACCAGCCACACUGGAACUGAGACACGGUCCAGACUCCGACGGGAGGCAGCAGUGGGGAAUAUUGCACAAUGGGCGCAAGCCUGAUGCAGCCAUGCCGCGUGUAUGAAGAAGGCCUUCGGGUUGUAAAGUACUUUCAGCGAGGAGGCGUUACUCGCAGAAGAAGCACCGGCUAACUCCGUGCCAGCAGCCGCGGUAAUUC
rnacentral:rRNA from 1 species